AACGAACGCUGGCGGCAUGCCUAACACAUGCAAGUCGAACGAGACCUUCGGGUCUAGUGGCGCACGGGUGCGUAACGCGUGGGAACCUGCCCUUAGGUUCGGAAUAACUCCCCGAAAGGGGUGCUAAUGCCGGAUAAUGUCUUCGGACCAAAGAUUUAUCGCCUUUGGAUGGGCCCGCGUUGGAUUAGCUAGUUGGUAGGGUAAAAGCCUACCAAGGCGACGAUCCAUAGCCGGUCUGAGAGGAUGAUCAGCCACACUGGGACUGAGACACGGCCCAGACUCCUACGGGAGGCAGCAGUGGGGAAUAUUGGACAAUGGGCGAAAGCCUGAUCCAGCAAUGCCGCGUGAGUGAUGAAGGCCUUAGGGUUGUAAAGCUCUUUUACCCGGGAUGAUAAUGACAGUACCGGGAGAAUAAGCUCCGGCUAACUCCGUG
rnacentral:rRNA from 1 species